rnacentral:misc_RNA from 1 species
GAUGAAGAACGCAGCGAAAUGCGUUACCUAGUGUGACAUGCAUACACUCGUGAAUCACCGACAUCUUGAACGUAACUGACAAAGCUCGCGUAAGCGAGCUUUAAUCACGACCGAGUGCCAACAUUACACCACAAAAUUGAGCGUUCGGGACUCGCUCGGUCAUUUUUUGACCGGGGCAGGUCUCGUCGCUUUAAAUCUAACCGAAGCACACGUAUAACGGACUCUCCGAGGCCUUAAUUUUAGGGUUUAGGGUAUUUGGGUUUAGUUAGUGUUUAGGGUUUCAUCAAUUACCCCUUAUACGGGUAACAUUAACCGGGUAACACCCGGUCAUAUUUGACCUCGAUCGUGAUAGACUACCCGCUGAAUUUAAGCAUAUCAAUAAGCGGAGGA